UACUGGGACCGGGAACACAGGCUUCCUCUCGGUGAUGAGAGGUUCAGCCUCCUAGGUGCCUUGUGUACCCUUAGGGGUGGGGAUCCACCACUCAGCAACAGUUCGAGGACGCUCCAGGUCCCAAGCUCACCCUUUGAGAUGCUAAGGUACCUGACUUUCCUACUGCAGUCACAGAGUCUUAAGGACCGGAAGGCGCAGCGGGGAACACAGGGGCCUGGCUGCCCAGGACGAGGUGCCUGCACUAGGCGCCCCCGAGCUCUGGGCGGGGCAGCGGUAUCUUGGAAGCGCUGGCCGGGGUAGGAACGCUCACAGCCUCCUGGAGUUCGCAGCCUAGUGUGCUCCAGCCCCAGAGCCAGCGCGGCGAACUCAGUGAGAUGCGGUGCAUUGAGAAGAUCCUAAAGGCCACGAGGUGCUUGGCGCAUCCCAAGACGCGGCUCGGCGCCAUCCUACUGUCACAUUCCUCUUGCUUUUCUCGCCUUCAAUGGUCCGGAGCCACAAGCAGGUGUGGGAUACAGCACCUCUGCUCCAAGUGGCUUGGACCCCUCGCGGCCAAUUCGGACGAACGAACCGCGGCUAGAGAGGGCCAGGGCCCAGGGCAUCUGCAAGUCAGAAAGGGGCGCGCUGCACACCGCCCCCACGACUCGCCAGGCAGCCAGCUUGAUUUUCCAUAAGCAUCAAGAGACUGAAAAUCCGCACUGCACUGUGGAAUAAGGCCCACAUUUCCUCAGGGACUUCAUAAAAAUGAAGAAGUUCUGGCUGGACAGACGACUCAGUGGGUAAAGGUGUUUGCUGCGGAACAUGGUGGAAGGAGAGAACCAUCCCCUACAAGCUGUCCUCUGCAGUGUGGCAGGCACACACUCAUUUCCCCAACAAGUGAGGACCACAGGUCCGUUCUAAUGGUUUGGAAACAGGUCCUUCCUCAGAUUGCCUUGGAAUUGGAAGAGGAACAAUUGAGCUACAGUAAGUUGCAGACCAGAAAUAUCAAAUGGAAGAUUCCAGAAAUAAAAACACAUGCCAUCCUAUACUGUACUGUCCUCGUCACGGUUUAGCCUUCCGUCCAAUGUAUCCAAGCUGUAUACACUACACUCCAGCAGCCACUUAGCUGUUUCAGUUUUAUGGAUGAGGAGACCAGACUGCUAUGAAAUAAAUGAAAACUUGCAAACGGAUGACCACUGGAUCCUUGGUUAACACACACUCUCACCACACACAUUUCCCAGGGAAGAUCUUUGCUUUAAUCGUACUCUCCAACCAGCACCAGGUGAGUGGUGUGGAGUUCCAAGGAAGGCCAGGGGCUCCUUGACCUCCACUGGAUCCUGCA